rnacentral:misc_RNA from 1 species
UUGACUUAUUAAGUGUGUCACUCAGAGAGGCCUGUAAAGACAAUGGUUUGGGUACCUCCGGCGGGCCUUGGGCGGCGCCUCCCGGGGGAGGGCCGGCCCGCCGAAGCAACUGUUCAGAGGUAUGGUUCACGAUGGUUUAAGGGAGUUUUGCAACUCUUUAAUGAUCCCUCCGCUGGUUCACCAACGGAGA